AUGAAUCUUGUCUGUUGGGACUGCCGGGGGGCGGGGAACUCCCGGACAGUUCGAGACCUUGCAACAUUAGUUCAGUCGCUUUCCCCCACCUUGGUCUUCUUGUGUGAGACUCGCCAGUCCAAUUCCAGGAUGAAGCGGUAUCAAGCACGGCUAGGCCUGCAUGGGUUUCAUGGUGUUGAUAGUGAAGGGAACAGUGGAGGUUUGUCCCUAUUUUGGCAUGAGUCACUCUCGGUAAAGGUGGUAUUUUCAAACCAGCGAUGUAUUGAUGCUCAUAUUAAGUUGGGGCCGGAUGAACUUGAGUGGCGUCUCACUUGUGUCUAUGGUGAGCCGAGAGUAGAGAAUAGGCACAACAUGUGGUCUCUGUUACAAAUUUUAAGUGUGCAAUCAAAUUUACCGUGGAUCGUGGCGGGUGACUUUAAUGAAUGUAUAUGGGAAUUUGAGCACUUUUCUGCCACUCCAAGCGCAGCAGCGCAGAUGCAGGCAUUCCCGGAUGUGUUGAAAGUUUGUGAGCUAGUUUUCCGAAAAGGGGUUUUACCCCAGCCUCUGCAUCAGAAAGAUGCAUACGGCUCAUAUUAA
rnacentral:rRNA from 1 species